rnacentral:misc_RNA from 1 species
UUUCCGUAGGUGAACCUGCGGAAGGAUCAUUAUUGGCUUUUGAAACUUCAGGCCGCUGCUGGCUCUCCUCGGAGGGCAUGUGCACGCUUGUUGUCCAUUAUUUCUCCCACUGUGCACAAAUUGUAGACCUUUCAGUAGGCCUAUGUUGUUUUUCACAAUCUCUGAAUGUAAUGGAAUGGUUUUGAAUCUUGGGAAAUACAAUACAACUUUCAGCAACGGAUCUCUUGGCUCUC